AAUCGCCUACGGGAGGCAGCAGUGAGGAAUAUUGCACAAUGGGGGAAACCCUGAUGCAGCAACGCCGCGUGAGUGAAGAAGGUUUUCGGAUUGUAAAGCACUGUUAGCAGGGAAGAGGAAGGACGGUACCUGCAGAGGAAGCCACGGCUAACUACGUGCCAGCAGCCGCGGUAAUACGUAGGUGGCAAGCGUUGUUCGGAAUAACUGGGCGUAAAGGAUGCGUAGGCGGUUAAACAAGUUAUAUGUUAAAUAUAUAGGCUUAACUUGUGGAAAGCAUAUAAAAAUGUUUAACUAGAGUGCAGGAG
rnacentral:rRNA from 1 species